UACGGAGGGUGCAAGCGUUAUCCGGAUUCACUGGGUUUAAAGGGUGCGUAGGCGGGCAGGUAAGUCAGUGGUGAAAUCCCCGAGCUUAACUCGGGAACUGCCGUUGAUACUAUCUGUCUUGAAUACUGUGGAGGUAAGCGGAAUAUGUCAUGUAGCGGUGAAAUGCUUAGAUAUGACAUAGAACACCGAUUGCGAAGGCAGCUUGCUACACAGUCAUUGACGCUGAGGCACGAAAGCGUGGGGAUCAAACAGG
rnacentral:rRNA from 1 species